AUUGAACGCUGGCGGCAUGCUUUACACAUGCCAGUCGAACGGCAGCGCGGGCUUCGGCCUGGCGGCGAGUGGCGAACGGGUGAGUAAUACAUCGGAACGUGCCCAGUAGUGGGGGAUAGCUCGGCGAAAGCCGGAUUAAUACCGCAUACGACCUGUGGGUGAAAGCGGGGGAUCUUCGGACCUCGCGCUAUUGGAGCGGCCGAUGGCAGAUUAGCUAGUUGGUGGGGUAAAGGCCUACCAAGGCGACGAUCUGUAGCUGGUCUGAGAGGACGACCAGCCACACUGGGACUGAGACACGGCCCAGACUCCUACGGGAGGCAGCAGUGGGGAAUUUUGGACAAUGGGCGAAAGCCUGAUCCAGCAAUGCCGCGUGUGUGAUGAAGGCCUUCGGGUUGUAAAGCACUUUUGGCGGGAACGAAAAGGACUGUGCCAAUACCACGGUUCGAUGACGGUACCCGCAGAAUAAGCACCGGCUAACUACGUG
rnacentral:rRNA from 1 species